GGGUGAAUAAAUCAUUUUUUUAGCUUAGUAUGGGCGACAGAAAAGCUGAUAGCAGUAAUAGAGAAAAGUAGCGUGAGCGAAAGGCAUUUUCAAGGUAAAAUCAGUGAUGGGUUCUCGUACCUUUUGCAUCAUGGCUUUACAAGUGUUUAUUCUUAGGAAGGCUCCCGAAAGUUUAGCGAUCUAUUUUUUUACUGGGGGUUGGCGUAGAAGGCUAUCUCUAGAUAGAAGAAUAGUGGCGAAAUACCUUUCGCGCUGACUAAUAGCUGGUUGUUUUGUAAAUAUAUUUAAGUAUAGGUCCCACUGAGAAACUAGGGGAAUUAAGCCUUUAGUUUUUAGUGGGAGCCCAGUUUCUUCAGGCUAAGCUGGGGAAAAAGAAGAAAGGUUCUUAGAGAAAGGAGAUGAAAAGUGGGCUUAAAGAAGCCAUCUUUUUAGAGUGGGUUAAUCCUCAGCAUUUCUAAUCAGCAAUCGAAUUAAGUUCCUUUUAUGUGACGAAACUUCUUCACGAAACGAAAGGGUGAAGGUAAUAAUGUAAAGAUGAGUAGCUUAGUUUCUGGGGUUUAUUGGUUCGGGGAAUUAAACAUUAAGUAACAAUUAUGAUAAGCAAAGCUAAAGGAACUCGGCAACAAUGAAAACCGCCUGUUUAACAAAAACAUGGCUCCUUGAAACCAUAAGGAGUCGUGCCUUCCCGGUGAGUUUUCUUAAACGGAUGCGGUAAAGCGUGCUAAGGUAGCUAAGUUAUGGCCUAGUUAAUUGUAGGCCCUGUGAAUGGUUUGACGAGUUUUCCUCUGUCUCUAGCUUGUUUUAGUGAACUUGAAUUGGAUGUGCAAAUGCUUCCUUGAGAAAGAAAGACGAGAAGACCCCGUGAAGUUAGAAAUCUAUGCGCAUGGAGCAGGUGCUUCCCGGUGCUUGUGGUUUUGGCUGGGGCAGCAAGGGGGCAAAAUUAGACCCCCUUAUUCUAAGUGCUGGUGAGCAAUGACCCAUAGUUUCAGAGGGUAUGAAUAGUAGAAGAAGUUACUCCGGGGAUAACAGCGUAAUCCGUCUUGACAGUUCUUAUAGAUGGGCGGGUUUGCGACCUCGAUGUUGGCUCUGGAUGUCCUGAAGCUGUAGGCGGUUUCAAGGGUUGGUUCGUUCGCCCAUUAAAAUCCAACGUGAGCUGAGUUCAGAUCGGCGAAAGCUAGGUCGGUUUCUAUCUUCUUUCUAACGGAAAGCCUUAGGGUACGAAAGGACAUUCGGCUUCAGAGGUUCUGUAAUAGCGGUUUUAUAGUAUGGUUAUAGUAGUGGUACGUUGGU
rnacentral:rRNA from 1 species